UAUGUCCAUAUCAUGUUGAGACACAAGUUCUCAUAUAAUCACAGAAGUUAAGCAACGUUGAGCCUGAUCAGUACUUACAUGGGUGGCUGCUUGGGAAUACCAGGUGCU